rnacentral:lncRNA from 1 species
CAGAGCGUCGAUGCGGGACAACUUGGAAAAAUCAGUGCUUUUUUGAGAUUGGAUCCGCGCAGAAAGAAGGAACUUUGGCCUAGCUGAAUCACAACCAGAGAUAGAUGAGUGCUAUGAAGAAAUGAUAGCAGAACUUGCUCAGGAAGCAACUUCACCCGGAAGUGGUGAUGAACAAGCUUCAUUUCCACCAUCGCCCAUACAACCACCUCCAAACCUUGAAGGUUUUAUGAGAUUUGUUAGAAAUAAUGCAUAAAUUAUUAUGUAACUUAUACAUUGACACGUCUUCUUUUAAUUUUUUUCCUUUUAAUAGUGGUAUUAGUACCAUGUUGUGCUCAUUCCAUUGGGGGA